CGCACAUUGCGCCCUUUGGUAUUCUAAAGGGCAUGCCUGUUCGAGCGUCAUUGCAACCCUCAAGCCUUGCUUGGUACUGGGCUCCUCGUCGCCUGCGACGUGCCCGAAAAAGAUUGACGGUUCGGUGGGGACCUUGGGGCGUAGUAAUUUCUUUUUCCGCCCCAGAGGCUCUGCACGUGACCGGUCGGAAGUUUCCAAAUCCGACUUGAAGAUUGACCUCGGAUCAAGCAGGAGUACCCGCUAAACUUAA
rnacentral:misc_RNA from 1 species